GUGGGGAAUUUUGGACAAUGGGCGCAAGCCUGAUCCAGCAAUGCCGCGUGCAGGAAGAAGGCCUUCGGGUUGUAAACUGCUUUUGUACGGAACGAAACGGUCCUGGCUAAUAUCCGGGGCUAAUGACGGUACCGUAAGAAUAAGCACCGGCUAACUACGUGCCAGCAGCCGCGGUAAUACGUAGGGUGCGAGCGUUAAUCGGAAUUACUGGGCGUAAAGCGUGCGCAGGCGGUGCUGUAAGACAGGCGUGAAAUCCCCGGGCUCACCCUGGGAAUUGCGCUUGUGACUGCAGUGCUGGAGUGCGGCAGAGGGGGAUGGAAUUCCGCGUGUAGCAGUGAAAUGCGUAGAUAUGCGGAGGAACACCGAUGGCGAAGGCAAUCCCCUGGGCCUGCACUGACGCUCAUGCACGAAAGCGUGGGGAGCAAACAGGAUUAGAUACCCGGGUAGUCC
rnacentral:rRNA from 1 species